AGAGUUUGAUCCUGGCUCAGGACGAACGCUGGCGGCGUGCCUAAUACAUGCAGGUAGAACGCUGAAGAGAGGAGCUUGCUCUUCUUGGAUGAGUUGCGAACGGGUGAGUAACGCGUAGGUAACCUGCCUUGUAGCGGGGGAUAACUAUUGGAAACGAUAGCUAAUACCGCAUAACAAUGGAUGACCCAUGUCAUUUAUUUGAAAGGGGCAAAUGCUCCACUACAAGAUGGACCUGCGUUGUAUUAGCUAGUAGGUGAGGUAACGGCUCACCUAGGCGACGAUACAUAGCCGACCUGAGAGGGUGAUCGGCCACACUGGGACUGAGACACGGCCCAGACUCCUACGGGAGGCAGCAGUAGGGAAUCUUCGGCAAUGGGGGCAACCCUGACCGAGCAACGCCGCGUGAGUGAAGAAGGUUUUCGGAUCGUAAAGCUCUGUUGUAAGUCAAGAACGAGUGUGAGAGUGGAAAGUUCACACUGUGACGGUAGCUUACCAGAAAGGGACGGCUAACUACGUGCCAGCAGCCGCGGUAAUACGUAGGUCCCGAGCGUUGUCCGGAUUUAUUGGGCGUAAAGCGAGCGCAGGCGGUUUGAUAAGUCUGAAGUUAAAGGCUGUGGCUCAACCAUAGUUCGCUUUGGAAACUGUCAAACUUGAGUGCAGAAGGGGAGAGUGGAAUUCCAUGUGUAGCGGUGAAAUGCGUAGAUAUAUGGAGGAACACCGGUGGCGAAAGCGGCUCUCUGGUCUGUAACUGACGCUGAGGCUCGAAAGCGUGGGGAGCGAACAGGAUUAGAUACCCUGGUAGUCCACGCCGUAAACGAUGAGUGCUAGGUGUUGGAUCCUUUCCGGGAUUCAGUGCCGCAGCUAACGCAUUAAGCACUCCGCCUGGGGAGUACGACCGCAAGGUUGAAACUCAAAGGAAUUGACGGGGGCCCGCACAAGCGGUGGAGCAUGUGGUUUAAUUCGAAGCAACGCGAAGAACCUUACCAGGUCUUGACAUCCCGAUGCUAUUUCUAGAGAUAGAAAGUUACUUCGGUACAUCGGUGACAGGUGGUGCAUGGUUGUCGUCAGCUCGUGUCGUGAGAUGUUGGGUUAAGUCCCGCAACGAGCGCAACCCCUAUUGUUAGUUGCCAUCAUUCAGUUGGGCACUCUAGCGAGACUGCCGGUAAUAAACCGGAGGAAGGUGGGGAUGACGUCAAAUCAUCAUGCCCCUUAUGACCUGGGCUACACACGUGCUACAAUGGUUGGUACAACGAGUUGCGAGUCGGUGACGGCAAGCUAAUCUCUUAAAGCCAAUCUCAGUUCGGAUUGUAGGCUGCAACUCGCCUACAUGAAGUCGGAAUCGCUAGUAAUCGCGGAUCAGCACGCCGCGGUGAAUACGUUCCCGGGCCUUGUACACACCGCCCGUCACACCACGAGAGUUUGUAACACCCGAAGUCGGUGAGGUAACCUUUUGGAGCCAGCCGCCUAAGGUGGGAUAGAUGAUUGGGGUGAAGUCGUAACAAGGUA
rnacentral:rRNA from 1 species